CACGUAGGGCGCAAGCGUUGUCCGGAAUUAUUGGGCGUAAAGGGCGCGUAGGCGGCUGUUCAAGUCGGGGGUGAAAGCCUGUGGCUCAACCACAGAAUUGCCUUCGAUACUGGACGGCUCGAGACCGGAAGAGGUCAGUGGAACUGCGAGUGUAGAGGUGAAAUUCGUAGAUAUUCGCAAGAACACCAGUGGCGAAGGCGGACUCACUGGCCCGAUACUGACGCUGAGGCACGAAAGCGUGGGGAGCAAACAGG
rnacentral:rRNA from 1 species